GGCAGCUCGAGCAAGGCAGCAGAGGCGGAAGCAGCAGUUUGUCGGACGGUAGGUCGUAGCUUUUGCCUGCUGAAAGCUGACCUCACAGCAGCCGUUCUGGUCUUGUCCCACGGUCCUGCAGUUCCUUCAAACCCUUCCAGGAGGAUCGGGGAGACAGGACCACAGGACGGGAACGAACAGCGACAGUGCUAGGGGCAGUGGAAUGGCGCCGACGACGGCUCAUGGCGAAGGACCGGGGGUGAGGGUGACGCGGCCGUUUUGGAAAAUAGCGGCACCAUAUGCUACCAGUGAUUGGCUUCACCUGACGCACAAAAGCCAGUUGCAGUGGAUCGGCGAGACCUGGCAGGAAGGUAGCGAACAGCGGCGUCACCCAUACACGCGUGCUCGUGGAGAGUACCGCCUUCCGUCUCCCUUCCGCGAGGGUGAAUACCGUUGCGGGUGGUAGACGCGGUGCGGGCAAAACCGAAGCGAACAGCGGUUGUGUCUGAAGGCACUGCGAAGAUACCGAAGAAUGACUGUGCACGGGUGAGGGGAAGGCCAAGCCUGCCGAUAGCCCUCUCCGAGUUCGUGCACCAAGUCGUCGGUGAGGUCGGGCAAAACGUGAGCGAGCAGCGGUGGCCCUGGAAGCGCCAUACAAGUGCCCUUGUCAAGGAAGGUAACCAGCUGUCAGCUUUGCAGGAAAGCCAGUCGACGCGGAUCAGCCCGGCCUUGGCAAGAUGGAGGCGGACAGCCGCAAUCCUUCCAGGAACAGCCUUCAAGAAACAGCUUGCCCGUUUUAUUGCGAUAGCAAUUAUGUGGACACUCCAAGCGACUUUUCGCCGUUGGCAUCACAAUGAGCUUCGGUAUAUAUUUAGGUCCAUCGUCUAAGGCCACAACAGCCUUGGCAACGGUCAGCACCACGAAAGAAACCAUUCCAGGAUGAUCGGAUGGGCAGGACGGGAGCGGACAGCGACAGUGGUCGGGGCAACGGAAUGGCGACGACGGCUCAUUGGCUCAUGGCGAAGGACGCAGAGAAGCCAGUUGCAGUGGAUCGGCGAGACCGGGCAGGAAGAAAGCGAACAGCGGAAGUGCUCAAAAGGUCGAGAUCAUGGAGAGUACCGCCUUCCGUCUCCAUUCUGCAAGGUUGAAUACCGUUGCGGGUGGUAGACGCGGUCCGGGCGAGACCGAAGCGAACAGCGGUUGUGUCAUAAGGCACCCGAAGAUACCGAAGAAUAACUGUGCACGGGUGAGGGAAAGGUCAAGCCU